rnacentral:rRNA from 1 species
GGGUCAGUAGGUUGGUCGUGCCACCGGUACGUACUGGUCUCACUGAUUCCUCCUUCCUGAGGAACCGUAAUGCUAUUAAUUUGGUGUUGCGGGGAAACAGGACUGUUACUUUGAAAAAAUUAGAGUGUUUAAAGCAAGCUAACGCUUGAAUACAUUAGCAUGGAAUAAUGAAAUAGGACGAUCGAUCCUAUUUUGUUGGUUUCUAGGAUUGACGUA